rnacentral:rRNA from 1 species
UACGGAGGAUCCAAGCGUUAUCCGGAAUCAUUGGGUUUAAAGGGUCCGUAGGCGGUUUGGUAAGUCAGUGGUGAAAGCCCAUCGCUCAACGGUGGAACGGCCAUUGAUACUGCCAGACUUGAAUUAUUAGGAAGUAACUAGAAUAUGUAGUGUAGCGGUGAAAUGCUUAGAGAUUACAUGGAAUACCAAUUGCGAAGGCAGGUUACUACUAAUGGAUUGACGCUGAUGGACGAAAGCGCGGGUAGCGAACAGG